AGUCGAGCGGAAGAUGGGAGCUUGCUCCCUUAGGUUAGCGGCGGACGGGUGAGUAACACGUGGGUAACCUGCCUGUAAGACUGGGAUAACUCCGGGAAACCGGGGCUAAUACCGGAUGCUUGAUUGAACCGCAUGGUUCAAUUAUAAAAGGUGGCUUUUAGCUACCACUUACAGAUGGACCCGCGGCGCAUUAGCUAGUUGGUGAGGUAACGGCUCACCAAGGCAACGAUGCGUAGCCGACCUGAGAGGGUGAUCGGCCACACUGGGACUGAGACACGGCCCAGACUCCUACGGGAGGCAGCAGUAGGGAAUCUUCCGCAAUGGACGAAAGUCUGACGGAGCAACGCCGCGUGAGUGAUGAAGGUUUUCGGAUCGUAAAACUCUGUUGUUAGGGAAGAACAAGUACCGUUCGAAUAGGGCGGUACCUUGACGGUACCUAACCAGAAAGCCACGGCUAACUACGUGCCAGCAGCCGCGGUAAUACGUAGGUGGCAAGCGUUGUCCGGAAUUAUUGGGCGUAAAGCGCGCGCAGGCGGUUUCUUAAGUCUGAUGUGAAAGCCCCCGGCUCAACCGGGGAGGGUCAUUGGAAACUGGGGAACUUGAGUGCAGAAGAGGAGAGUGGAAUUCCACGUGUAGCGGUGAAAUGCGUAGAGAUGUGGAGGAACACCAGUGGCGAAGGCGACUCUCUGGUCUGUAACUGACGCUGAGGCGCGAAAGCGUGGGGAGCGAACAGGAUUAGAUACCCUGGUAGUCCACGCCGUAAACGAUGAGUGCUAAGUGUUAGAGGGUUUCCGCCCUUUAGUGCUGCAGCAAACGCAUUAAGCACUCCGCCUGGGGAGUACGGUCGCAAGACUGAAACUCAAAGGAAUUGACGGGGGCCCGCACAAGCGGUGGAGCAUGUGGUUUAAUUCGAAGCAACGCGAAGAACCUUACCAGGUCUUGACAUCCUCUGACAACCCUAGAGAUAGGGCUUCCCCUUCGGGGGCAGAGUGACAGGUGGUGCAUGGUUGUCGUCAGCUCGUGUCGUGAGAUGUUGGGUUAAGUCCCGCAACGAGCGCAACCCUUGAUCUUAGUUGCCAGCAUUCAGUUGGGCACUCUAAGGUGACUGCCGGUGACAAACCGGAGGAAGGUGGGGAUGACGUCAAUCAUCAUGCCCCUUAGCCUGGGCUACACACGUGCUACAAUGGCAGAACAAAGGGCAGCGAAGCCGCGAGGCU
rnacentral:rRNA from 1 species